rnacentral:rRNA from 1 species
CGGCACGGGUGAGUAACACGUAUCCAACCUGCUGUCUACUCUUGGACAGCCUUCUGAAAGGAAGAUUAAUACAAGAUGGCAUCAUGAGUCCGCAUGUUCACAUGAUUAAAGGUAUUCCGGUAGACGAUGGGGAUGCGUUCCAUUAGGUAGUAGGCGGGGUAACGGCCCACCUAGUCUUCGAUGGAUAGGGGUUCUGAGAGGAAGGUCCCCCACAUUGGAACUGAGACACGGUCCAA